rnacentral:tRNA from 1 species
CGAGCCGCUAGCUCAGUUGGUAGAGCAUCGGCCUUUUAAGCCGAGGGUCGCAGGUUCGACUCCUGCACGGCUCAC